ACGUUCAACGGCCGCGGUAUCCUAACCGUGCAAAGGUAGCGUAAUCACUUGUCCCCCAAAUAGGGACCAGUAUGAACGGCUAAAUGAGGGCCCACCUGUCUCCUGAGGCCAACCAGUGAAACUGAUCUCCAGGUACAAAAGCCUGAAUAAUAAAAUAAGACGAGAAGACCCUGCGGAGCUUUCAAACACACUAGCUACACAUAAAACAUGUAACAUAGCACGCGUUUUAAGUUGGGGCGACKGCGGAGAAAAACAAAACCUCCAUGAUAUACGCAACACCCCCCCUCCCCCAGGACCACACUCCAAGCCGGGGUAUGCCUAUGACCCAGUUAACACUGAUCAACGAACCAAGUUACCCCAGGGAUAACAGCGCCAUCCCCUUAAAGAGUCCAUAUCGACAAGGGGGCUUACGACCUCGAUGUUGGAUCAGGACACCCAAGUAGAGCAGCCACUACUAAUGGUUCGUUUGUUCAACGAUUAAUGUCCUACGUGA
rnacentral:rRNA from 1 species